UGGGGAAUCUUGCACAAUGGGCGAAAGCCUGAUGCAGCGACGCCGCGUGGGGGAUGAAGCAUCUCGGUGUGUAAACCCCUUUCGAUUCGGACGAAUGCCCGCAAGGGAGUGACGGUACGGAUAUAAGAAGCCCCGGCUAACUACGUGCCAGCAGCCGCGGUAAGACGUAGGGGGCCAGCGUUGUUCGGAAUUACUGGGUGUAAAGGGUUCGUAGGCGGUGCGGCAAGUUGGGAGUGAAAUCUCUGGGCUUAACCCAGAGGCUGCUUCCAAAUCUGUUGUGCUCGAGUGUGGGAGAGGCGCGUGGAAUUGCAUGUGUAGCGGUGAAAUGCGUAGAUAUCUGCAGGAACACCCGUGGCGAAAGCGGCGCGCUGGACCACUACUGACGCUGAGGAACGAAAGCCAGGGGAGCAAACAGG
rnacentral:rRNA from 1 species